rnacentral:rRNA from 1 species
GAUGAACGCUGGCGGCGUGCCUAAUACAUGCAAGUCGAACGAUCAGACGCGUACCUUGCUGGUGUGACUGGAGCAGCGGCCAACGGGGUAGCAAGUGGAGAACAUCCCUCUAACACCUGCUGGACAUCGGCAAACCAGUGUGACUACCACGGAAUAUAUUGAACCUCUUGGUUCAAUGGUGAAGGAAGGUUUUGGUUUCGGUUGGGGAUGGAUCCGCGCCGCAUUAGCUAGUUGGUGGGGUGAUGGCUUACCAAGGCGACGAUGAGUAGCCGACCUGAGAGGGUGAUGGGCCACAACGGAAGUGCGACACGGUCCAGACUCCUACGGGAGGCAGCAGUAGGGAAUAUUACGCAAUGGGGGGAGGAAUGACGGAGCAACGCCGCGGGAGGGAUGAAGGUCUUCGGCGCGUAAAACUCUGUUAUCAGGGAAGAACAAAUGUGUAAGUAAUUAUGCGUGUCUUGACGGUACCUGAUCAGAAAGCCCCGGCUAACUACGUG